rnacentral:rRNA from 1 species
UACGAAGGGGGCUAGCGUUGCUCGGAAUCACUGGGCGUAAAGCGCACGUAGGCGGCUUUUUAAGUCAGGGGUGAAAUCCUGGAGCUCAACUCCAGAACUGCCUUUGAUACUGAGAAGCUUGAGUCCGGGAGAGGUGAGUGGAACUGCGAGUGUAGAGGUGAAAUUCGUAGAUAUUCGCAAGAACACCAGUGGCGAAGGCGGCUCUCUGGACCGAUACUGACGCUGAGGCGCGAAAGCGUGGGGAGCAAACGGG